CUAGUGGAUAACGAGAUGCAUCGAUCCUUACCGCGCGAGCGCCAUCGGACGGAAGACAGCAGUGGGAACGCGCGCAGGGUAGAUUUUCCCAAGAAAAUUAUCUCGAUACAGCCAGCGGCGCAUCUCGCCGCCGACGAAGUCCCCAGUCCACCUCGCCACCACCUCCCACCCGCCUCGUGCCCUAUCGUGCUGCUACACUACAUUUCCUCUGAUAAUGGUGUCCAGCCUGAAUGGGAUGUCUGUUAGAUAUUCGCUUGCUGACAAUACCAUGGAGUCCCCUACGAGGUCAGAGGGUCCCUCUUGCGUCGGGUUUGUGUGAUCUGAUUCCGUGUACAUUUCCUGUGCACACUCCAUCCAUGGUAGUUUCAUGUAUACAUCUCUGAUCGCUUGUCAAAAAUCGGAAAUCGAAUAGGGAUAUGAUGUAUAAACUCUUUUGAUCCUGUACUAUCCAGUAGGAUUAGUGUUGAUUAGUUCCUCAUUUAUUUCGGUUAUACUAUGCACUUUUGCCUAAAAGGUGCCUAUUGUUCCAUCUUAUCCACAAAGUUCUCAAUUAAACUGUUUUUUUUUGGAAAAGGAGGCUUUCCCCCGGCCUCUGCAUCUAAGCGAUGCAUGCAGCCAUCUUAUUAAAGUUCUCAAUAAAACUGUAAACACCCUAAUUUUCUCGUUAAUCUUUUGAGAAACACAGCCAAUUUUCUUGGAUUUUUAGAUAGCUGCAGAUGGUAUUGGUGUCAGACUGUCAGUAACGUGUGGCUUCUGUUUAUAUUUCAGCAAUUACUGGAGCCCCCAAAAAAAAGAUUCGGGGAUGGUUGCUUCAGUGUGAUUGCUAUUAAAUUUUAAAUAGUGGGGAUGCCAUUUCCAUCCAUUCAUCUCUUCCUCUAGCUUGUUUCAGGUUGGAUGAAGACGAAGAAGAAGGUGGCCUCUUUGUUUGACUGAUAUAUUUGGCCUCUUUUGCCAAUACAAGAAGGUGAAGCAAGUCUGUAGAUCAUUGCAACUACUAUCAGAAAUGGGCGAGCGCUUGCGGCAGGGCAAGGACACCUCGAGGACAUACUGAAAAGCCCUGGCACUACUUCAAGUUGUGCAAAUCACUUCAGCCAUGUGAUGUAUUUAUCUGCUGGUUGUAAAUUUGUAAUAGAAUGCAGAGUAGUGUUCCUUUCAAAAAAGAAAGAGAGGGAGAGAUACAGCCCUCUAUUGCCCCCUUUCUUGUAACAUGAACAAUUUUCUCAUAAAUGGCAGAUCGAUCAGACUGCUCCACAUCACACUGGAGUAAUUUCGUUUUUUUCAGUGUACAGAAAAAUUGACAGACAGAUAUGAAAGAAAAUAAAGAGCAUUAUCAAAUAUACUCUUACAUGUCCGAGUUUACACUUGUCUAACUGUUGCAGAAGCACAUUUACAUGAUCUGUCUAGCACUACAGGCAGUGCAUUUAAGUACGAUUUUCUUGGCUUUGCUCGAAAAAUGACAGAUCACGACAGGAAAUGCAUCUACAGCCGAUGAGCGUAUAGCUGGUGGUGCCCCAUGUCCUGGGCAGAGAUAUGCAUGCUUUGCUGUGCAUACAGGUACACUGUUUUGUUAUUCUUGCUGUUGGGGUUAUGUUUCCCUACCGCAGUGUACCAUGUUAGCAUUUUGAAAUUUGGAAGCGGGUUGGGGUGGUCUGAUUUUGCCACAGAGAUGUCUCUUUGUGGUUUCUAAGUUUCACAGCAGUGUUAAGUUUCACAGCUGAACACUGUCUAUUGCAACUCUGUUACUGUUGAUCUUAUAUUAUUCUUACUUAUGGGUGUCGUUGCACAAUUCCCUGUGUAGGUAAAAGACAUAAAUUUAACAAUUGGUAUGGAUAUAGUGCGGGGUGAAACUGUAAUACAAGAUGUGGAAGGCCUGCAUUGUGAUUCAUAGAUCAUUGCUUGAAUUCCCAAAACGAAUCUUUACUUAAAUUCUCUGGUGGAUGUUCUGAAAGCAGCAUUUCUUCCAAUCGAAAAUAUGAAGUUAUAUCUGAUUGUGCGUCGUCGAAACUUUGCUGGGGCACCACAUAUUGUGCCUUCUCUGGAUGGUCCUCGAGAUGGAACUUCAACAUCUGAAUCUCAUGUUUCUGCAUCUUCUACUUCUUCUGAAAGUAUUCAGGAUCUGUCCAAGAUACAGAAACAUGGACAUCGAACAAAUUUCAUGUUUCAGUAAAUCUGGUUGAGCUUUCUCUGCAUUCAGGAGCAACAAGGGAUUCCCCUCUGGCUAACGGUGCAGAAACAUGGAUAGCAAAUACACUUCCUAUUCAAUAAAUCUGGUCGAGGUAUCAACAAGGGAUUCGCCUCUGGCUAGCAUGCAGAAGGUUGAUCUUCCUGUGGAUACCUCUCAUCUGGGAGUAAAGCACACAAUGUAGCUCCUUUACUUUGCAGAUCCUGAAAGGAACUGUUGAGCAAUCAGUUUUGGCAUAUGUACAGUUAGAAGCUGUGGACAUACUCUUUCUGUACAAUGGACACAAAACGGCCUGAAGCUACAAAUUUGCAUCGCUGAGCCUCAGGCUAAAGUUGAGAAGCACUGAAGGAUGAAUGGUGGCACGUGAUCGCUUCGUUUAACAUAGCACUGCUGUUUGGCACCUCCUUAAAAAUGUGAACUCAGGUUCAAAUAUAAAUCUUUGAUUUGCUUUAUGAAUUUACCCGUAUUCAUAAGUUCAGUUACACUUGCCGGAACAUAUAUACCAUAUACCCAAUUAUGUACUAUGGCAAACUUAUUCAUCGGA